CCGCCUUUUAUGAAAAUAAAGUAAUGUCCUGCUACACAGAGACGAAAAGGAACCAUUCAUUCUGUAACAGUUCAUUAAUGUGAGAAAGAGCUUUAUGGGCUGCCUGGAGUCUUCACUUCAGUAUACAGGUUGCACAGCUGAUUAAAGAUGCCCUGAUAAUACGGCAUUGCUAACAGACCUGUCGUUGAGAAGCACAGCGCGGACAUCGAUUCGAGUGGAUCAUGGAAACCGGUGGUAACUGAUCGAAUUAGCAGAUAAUUCCAGUAUUUGUGUUUUGAACCCAGAAAGAGCUCACCGAUAUACAGCACGCCCUAUGCAUCUUGGAUCAUCCUCCACCCACCUCACCUCUGGGUUACCCCUCUCCCCCUGCCCACCUCGUCCUCCUCAGCUCCCAAGCCUAAUGGCCCCUCUUCUGGAUCUUAAAAUUGGAUUGUCUACUCAAGAGAAGCAUCACUGUCAACAUGUGAUACAUAUGUAAUCUGGUCAUUUGAUUGUGACCGUACUGCAUUGUUUUGUGUAUUACGGACCUGUGUAAUUGUUUGGUUUUCAGUAAAGGCUUCAUUGGUAUUACA